GGGACAGGAGGUGGGGCGCAGGGAGGGAAUCGAGCGUGAAACUGCGUUAUGCGCACGCGCCAGCGCCCGCGAUGAAGGUCCCCUGCUCCCGCCCCGCCUCGCCCUCGAUGGAAUAUGACAGCGAGACAGAUGCAGUCCUGACGUGCACGGCCGCUGGCCACCCUGGGAAGUGUCCAAGAGGCCAGUGCCCGACCGCAUGCCCCACGCUGCACCUGGCCACGCUCACACUCUGCCUGGCAAGCAGCGCCCUGUGUGGCUUCGUUUACAUGAAACACCGAAACAGGCCAAGCCGUAGCAGCGAAGUGGCCUCCAGGCUGCCCGGGGCAGGGCGGGUGGGGAGCCCUGGGAGACAGUGAUUGCUAGCGGCUGUGUUCUAGGGGCUGGUAUUUGUGUGUUGUGUGUGCUGUAUGUUGUUUUCAUUUUGUUGUGUGUGUGUGUCCAUGCAUGUGCACUGGCAUUUUUUGUGUGGUUUUGUUUUUUUAUGGAGUGAUGAAAACGUCCUGAAAUUAUUAUAGGUACAGUUGCGUCCAUCUGAGUAUACUAAAAUCAUCAAAUUGUGCAGCUUAAAUAGUGAAUUGUCGCUGGGCAUGGUGGUACAUGACUGUCAUCCCAGCACUUGGGAGGCUGAGGCAGGAAGAUCGCCAGGAGUUUGAGUCAAGGGGAAAAAAUCCAGUCAAAAGGAAUAAAAGAGUCCAGGACAAAAAGAGAAGGGGUGAUCGGCUCUGCAGGGCAGGGAUCCCAGGGGUGUGCUGGCCUUGGAGGACGCCUGAGGGUGGAGGGGGUUGGGAGAUCGGACCGGUGUGCAGGUGACACAUGGGCCCUGCAGCUGUCCCACACUCCUGCCACCCCAUCUCUCACCUCUGCCACCUCGGCCCUGCCCUCCCCAGGUGCAGCUUGGUGUCCAGGCCUGGCUCAGCCACUCCCCUUGGGGGGCUGGCGAUGUGACUGCACGAAGGAAUUCACUGUGGGUCCCUGGGGAGGGGUCGUACCGCCCCACGCACGCCUGCCACCUGCCAGCGUGAUUUGCUCCAGCGGGAAAUGAACGCAGAGGCCCGGAGGGAGCCGGCCCGCAGCGUCCGGGUUCAUUUCCCCCUGGUACGGGAGCAGAGCUGCCCCAGGUACAGGCCAGGCCCACAUCCCUGCGGCCGGGACCCACGGGGCUGAGGAGAGAUGGAUCUGGGACUUUAAGCCCGGGGGACUCGGGGGUAAGAGCGUCCCAUGACGUGACUUCACAUAACUCACGUCAGCCUCGUUCCCAGGGCCGCAUGCAGCCCAAAUGUGCCAACCGGGGGACCCGAGCGGCCGCCUCUGCAGCCUCCCCGGCCGGGCUGGGCGCAGGCUGCGCCUGCUGAGCCCGCAGCGGGACUCGGUUUACUCCCGGGCGCGUCCAACCCGCCCUGCACCGGGCCUCGUCCCCAGCGCCUGCACCCGACCGCUCGUCCCGGUCUCCCACGCUCCCCCGCUCCUCCUCCCCGCGUGUGUGCGGGUGGUGCUGGUGGUUGGGAUUGUUACACGUUCUCACCGUUGUCCAGGCCGACUUCAGUCAAACCCUGUGUAGCUUGAAUUGCCGGCCUUGAACUCUCCAUCUUCCUGCCUCAGCCUUCACUAAAUCCCAAGCCCG